UACGUAGGGGGCUAGCGUUGUCCGGAUUUAUUGGGCGUAAAGAGCGUGUAGGCGGCCAUGUAGGUCCGGUGUGAAAACUCGAGGCUUAACCUCGAGAUGUCAUCGGAAACCAUUUGGCUAGAGUCCGGAAGAGGAGAGUGGAAUUCCUGGUGUAGCGGUGAAAUGCGUAGAUAUCUGGAGGAACACCGGUGGCGAAGGCGGCAUCCUGGACCGGUAUUGACGCGUGAGGCGCGAAAGCCAGGGG
rnacentral:rRNA from 1 species